AUUGAACGCUGGCGGCAGGCUUAACACAUGCAAGUCGAGCGGGGGAGGUUGCUUCGGUAACUGACCUAGCGGCGGACGGGUGAGUAAUGCUUAGGAAUCUGCCUAUUAGUGGGGGACAACAUUCCGAAAGGGAUGCUAAUACCGCAUACGCCCUACGGGGGAAAGCACGGGAUCUUCGGACCAUGCGCUAAUAGAUGAGCCUAAGUCGGAUUAGCUAGUUGGUGGGGUAAAAGCCUACCAAGGAGACGAACUGGAGCGGGUCUUAGAGGAUGCUCCGCCACACGGGGACUGGUACACGGCCCAGACUCCUACGGGAGGGAGCAGAGGAGAAUAUUGGACAAUUGGCGGAAGCCGCUGCCAGCCAAGCCGCGUGUGUAAAGAAGCCGUUUUGGGUGUUAAGCCCUUGAAGCGAGAUGGAGGCUACUAGUACUAAUACUACUGGAUAGUGUACGUUACUCGCAGAAUAAGCACCGGCUAACUCUCAGCCAGCAGCCGCCGUAACAC
rnacentral:rRNA from 1 species